UACGGAGGAUCCAAGCGUUAUCCGGAUUUAUUGGGUUUAAAGGGUGCGUAGGCGGAUUGAUAAGUUAGAGGUGAAAUGUCCGAGCUCAACUCGGGAACUGCCUCUAAUACUGUUGAUCUAGAGAGUAGAUGCGGUAGGCGGAAUGUAUGGUGUAGCGGUGAAAUGCAUAGAUAUCACGCAGAACUCCGAUUGCGAAGGCAGCGUACCGGCAUCCAACUGACGCUGAGGCACGAAAGCGUGGGGAUCAAACAGG
rnacentral:rRNA from 1 species